rnacentral:rRNA from 1 species
UUGAGUGGCGGACGGGUGAGUAACGCGUGGGUAACCUGCCCUGUACAGGGGGAGUAACAGUCAGAAACGGCUGCUAAUACCGCAUAAGCGCACAGUACCGCAUGGUACCGUGUGAAAAACUCCGGUGGUAUAAGAUGGACCCGCGUUGGAUUAGCUAGUUGGCGGGGUAACGGCCUACCAAGGCGACGAUCCAUAGCCGGCCUGAGAGGGUGAACGGCCACAUUGGGACUGAGACACGGCCCAGACUCCUACGGGAGGCAGCAUG